rnacentral:rRNA from 1 species
CUWKAAGUCCACUGAACCUYAUNAUUUAGAGGAAGGAGAAGUCGUAACAAGGUUUCCGUAGGUGAACCUGCGGAAGGAUCAUUGUCGA